GCCCGGGUCGCUCAACGGCAGAAGCAACCGCCUUAAAAGCGGACAAGUGCGGGUUCGAAUCCCGCCCCGGGCA
rnacentral:tRNA from 1 species